rnacentral:rRNA from 1 species
UGGGGAAUAUUGGACAAUGGACCGAGAGUCUGAUCCAGCAAUUCUGUGUGCACGAUGAAGUUUUUCGGAAUGUAAAGUGCUUUCAGUUGGGAAGAAAUAAAUGACGGUACCAACAGAAGAAGUGACGGCUAAAUACGUGCCAGCAGCCGCGGUAAUACGUAUGUCACGAGCGUUAUCCGGAUUUAUUGGGCGUAAAGCGCGUCUAGGUGGUUAUGUAAGUCUGAUGUGAAAAUGCAGGGCUCAACUCUGUAUUGCGUUGGAAACUGUAUAACUAGAGUACUGGAGAGGUAAGCGGAACUACAAGUGUAGAGGUGAAAUUCGUAGAUAUUUGUAGGAAUGCCGAUGGGGAAGCCAGCUUACUGGACAGAUACUGACGCUAAAGCGCGAAAGCGUGGGUAGCAAACAGGAUUAGAUACCCUGGUAGUCCACGCUGUAAACGAUGAUUACUAGGUGUUGGGGGUCGAACCUCAGCGCCCAAGCAAACGCGAUAAGUAAUCCGCCUGGGGAGUACGUACGCAAGUAUG